rnacentral:rRNA from 1 species
ACCUGCGGAAGGAUCAUUGUCGUGACCCUGACCAAAAUAGACCGUGAACAUGUCAUCCAUGCCGCCGGGCGAUGGGUUUUGCACCUGUCUCCCGGAACAGGGUGCCAACCCUCUUCGUUGGGGGAGGCACCCUAAAAGAACCCACGGCGCCGUAUGGCGUCAAGGAACACUGAUGCUGCCUUGCACGGUGUGGGCCGGCUUGCCGGUUCCACCCUCGUGCAGCGAAUGUUAAUCCACAUGACUCUCGGCAACGGAUAUCUCGGCUCUCGCAUCGAUGAAGAACGUAGCAAAAUGCGAUACCUGGUGUGAAUUGCAGAAUCCCGUGAACCAUCGAGUUUUUGAACGCAAGUUGCGCCCGAGGCCUUCUGGCCGAGGGCACGUCUGCCUGGGCGUCACGCCAAAAGACACUCCCCAUCCAUCACGAUGAGGAAGUGGUAUUUGGCUCCCCGUGCAUCUAUGUGCGGAGGGCCUAAGUUGGGGCUGUCGGCGGUGCCGAUCACAGCGCAAGGUGGAUGACGGAAGUUGUUCUCGGUGCUAUGAUUCGGACUGCUUUCGUUUAUGCCCUUAGCACCCAUGUACCGAAGUGGACAUCGCUCGGACCGCGACCCCAGGUCAGUCGGGACUACCCGCCGAAUUUAAGCAUAUUAAUAAGCGG